AUCAGAAAAAUGAUCUGUAAAAAGACAUUAGAAAAAAAUGUAGAUCGUCAUACAUACGUAAAUAGUUUAUAAAUUUGGCGGGUCGGUAACCGGCUCAAGCGUGAUUGGAUGGACUCGUUGAUUGGUUGAAACAUAUGCGCCAUAUCGGUACAGUGAGUAAAGUAGGAACAAAAAGUGGCGGUCAGUCGUGAACCGCGCGUCACACGGAUAGGAAGUGGUAGUUUAGUCUAAUGCUUUACUGUAAUAUCAUUUCCGAUUUUUAAUAAAAUAUCGUUGACUUUUUUUGAUCGAAAUAAACAAGAAUAUUUGAUAACAAUACGGAAUCGUAUAUGAUAAAUAGAAGAAAAUCAUUUAUAGAAACGACGUUUUCUAAUGCGUCUUGUUAUGAAUAGAAUAGCAAUAGAAUCUUAACGAUAUUAAUAGAAACAGAUGAUUAGCGUGUAUUCUCAUUACUUUCCAUUUUAAUUAUUCGUAAUCUUUAAAAGAGGUGAGACAUAAGCGUUUCAAGAUUGAAGAUGAUGUGCGCGCAAUAAAUUCAAGCAGUUUAACACGUGCUCGCGCGUACACGUGGACUCAUCGAAAUGUGAGAUAGAAGAGUAUAAGAGGAAUUCGAUUGUCGGGUGCUGUCGAUGCGACGUCAAACAUUUUUGAUCAUCGUCAAGAUACAUAUAGCAAACAAGUGGUUACACACAAAAUGGAGAGUCUCUACACCGGUGCGAUUCAUGGAUUUCAUCAGCCUAACGGAGGAAUGGUGGCAAAUGGAUUUUCCACGGGCAUCGCCAGUUCCUUCGAUCAAGAUGGAGUCUUGAGUCUCAUUGUUGUCCUCGGAGGAAGUCUUUCUUUGGUGGCACUCGUAUUUGCAUUCAUAACUUACAGUCUGUUCUCGGAUCUGAGAAGUUUGGCAGGUACCACCCUCAUGAAUCUUUUGGCAGCCCUCUUCAUGGUUCAACUCCUUUUCAUCGUCGGCGUAGGAGGUGUUCAGGAUUCGGAGCUUUGCAUUUCCCUCGGAUUGAGCCUUCAAUAUCUGAGGGUAUCGGUGGUUUGUUGGUUAGCUGCGAUGUGCCAUCAUCUCUAUGCCACAGUGGCCUCAAUACCUCGUCGUGACGAUCCUCCUACGUAUCUCAAAUAUAGCGUCUUCGCCUGGGGUGCACCCCUUGUCACUCUUGCCGUUGCUACCCUUGUACAGAGUCGAGAGAGCAAUGAUUUCUGGAACGUUGUGGAUCUGACGCCGUUCAACUGCUGGUUUCUUGGAACGAACGCAACGGUCUACGCCUACGGAUUGCCAAUCGUCCUGCUUCUCAUGGCCUCCGGAUAUUACCUCGUGAAAGCCGCGAUCGUAUCGAGGUAUACGUGUAGCAUGCAAUUGGAAAUCAAGCAACGCGAGAAAAUGAAGAGAAGGCGCACGUUACAACUGAUGCUUUUCCUGAAGGUCUGCAUGGUAAUUGGUUUCGUGGCAGCUUGCGGUGUAGCUUCGAGGGUAUGGAAGAUGCCUUUUCUAUGGGCUGUCUUUUGCACGGGUCAUUCGCUUCAGGGUCUCUCCGUGGCACUGUCGGUCGCAUGCAAUUGCAGAGUGCUCAAAGUCUACGCGAGAAAAUCGCAUCCUCAACCGCAGCAGAUCACCAAGUCGAGUAGUAGCAUGCAGCUGCUCGCACCUGCACCUGAUCCAGUCUAGAUCGAAUUCCUCUGUAGGUUUCAAUCUAGACGGUCUCAUUUUAACAACGGAUGGAAGAGAGAGAAAUAGAGAGAGAGUGAGAAAGAGAGUGUGUGUGAGAGAGAGAGAGAGAGAGGGGGGGGAGAGAUAGUAUCGAGUGAACAUACCUUGUGAGAAGGAAGGAGGAAAGGAAGUUACGGAGAUAGAUCGUGUCGUCCACGCAUCGUCGCUAUUUUUACAUCAAGAUUAGUUCACAGUUCACUUACGAGUUCGUUACCCUGACCUUCCACGUAUCGAUGAUUUAACUAACAAAAAGAGAUACGGAGAAAUAUUAUAGGCCAGAAUAUCAACAAUUGUUUCUAACGAAAGAUCGUUAAAAAUGGUCUGUCUGUUUUAUCAUGUUUAAUACUUUUUUCAGAUCACAACAUCCAAUUGAAGAGUAUGGAACAAAACGCAAAAGCUUCUUACAGAUUUCUUGCGUUUCUUACAGGUAUUUUCAAAAUGGACAUUAGAAGAAACGUAGAAAUAAAUUAUUAGCGUUUUCAACGAAAUCGCACAUUUUUGUACAAUUUAACGCGAGUGAGAAUGAUAGAUAGAUCAAUCCUUUAGGCUGAAGAACAUAUCAUCGUUUGAAUAUCGACAGCCGAUUAAUAACGGAGCCGGUUGAACCAAGAGUGAAAAUCACUUCGUUGCUUGACUUAGUGAGAGAUUAAUUUCGAACGUACCGUGUAUCGUUCGAGCGUGAAUUAAAACCUAUUUACCGCGUGUUUAUAAGGGCUGAUAACGUACCAUAGAUAGCUUAAAUGGGGACACCAGGAAAUAUGAUUGAAAUCAUGUUUGUACGCUAAAUAUAUGCGUGAUCGAGGACGUAAAGACGAUAAAUGGAUAAAAUAUAGUAUUACUCUCGAUCAUUUGUUAAAUAAAUCCCAAACAUUAAUUAAAAGAAACGAGAAUCCGUAAAAACUAAUUACACCAUAAAAGAGGAUUUUACGUUUUAUGUCAUUUUAAUUGCAUCGCUAGUUAAUUACCGACCAUUAAUAUAUCACUGAUAAAUCAUAUCCGAUUUUAUUUUAUUCAUUUAAACUUUCAUUUCUGUUUUUUUUUCAUUUUGAUAUUUUAAAAACAAUUUACAUUUAAAAUAGCUAAUACUUACGAUUAUUCGUUUAUCACAGCGUAAAAACAAUGACAAGCUUGCGAUGCAGGUAAGUCGUGCGACAUUUUCAAUAGUAUAUACAAUGAUAUAAUAGAUUACUUUCAGUUUCACUUAUCGUUUAAUUCUUUUUCCUAAUGAUGAUAAGGUAUAUCGAUGAAUAUACCUCCAUUUAUUUGUCAAAUUCAUCGAUGAUUAUACGUUUUUCUUAUAUUUUCCUUCGUUUUAUCUCUUCUACUAAUGUCCUUUGUUUCUGGAAGAAAGAAAAAAACAGCAGAUAGUUUUUGUACCAAGAAACGGAUUAGAGAGUCAAAUUGUAGAAUUUUAGAAUUUCGUAUUUACUCAUUUAUUAAAAAUAAAAAGAUAUAAUUUAGUUUAUUCAGCGAUAUCGGAAAGAACUUCAUAAUUUCAUUAAUUAUGGAAAGUUCGGAAUUAAUAUUUUUAAUCAGCUAGAUUUGCUUGUUGUAACCAAUUUAAAUAUUCCCGAGUACAGUACAAAAAUAUUUGAUUAGUUUUCGAAACUAAAAUUCACCAUUGAGCGACUCAGAUUCAAGUGUUGCAAAAGUUCAAUUGUUGCAAUUUAAAAGAAUGCGGUUGACGAUGUUUAAUUCCAGGAAUAAGUUUUAUAGGGCAAUAAAUAUAUAAUGGCUCAAGUAAUUAAUCGAAUUUCUAUCCUUUUUUUUUUUUAUCAUCAGAAUUAUUAACUACUAAUAAUGCAAAAGUUAAAUUAAACAAAGCUUUCGUGCAAAGAACUCUGAAAUCAAACAAGCGGUGCAUUAACAAUAAGCAAAUACGCCUUAGGUUACAUGACUAUAUAUAUGUUUUCGUACAAUAUCAAUAUUUUUUUAUCGUAAGAUACAAUUCGCUACAGACAGAUAUAUUUACUUUUAAAAAAUGAUCAUUUCGAGCUUCACAUAUAUUUGAAAAAAAAAAGAAAAAUAAAUAAAUAAAUAAAAUAAAUAAACAAAUUUUUUAAAUAUUUUCACGUCAAGAUGAAAUGAUGUUACCACAUGAGCAUAGAAUAAGAUCAGCAAAUACAGCUACAUCCAUCUAACGGCAUAUCUGUAACUUUUAUCUACAAUCGUUGGUACACCGUUAGAUGGCCAUACCAUUGCAUGUCAAGUACAGAAUGACUUAAUUGUGUACUUAACAUAAAUUGAUAUGAAUUGAUAUGAAUUGACAUGAAUAACGUAACUGCUUAUUAAAAUUCCAUGAAAUUUCAAUUUUUUUUUUUUCUAUUUCUGUUUACAUAUAUCUCCUUCUCUCU